ACGUGAGUAACCUGCCCUUGACUCUGGGAUAAGCGUUGGAAACGACGUCUAAUACCGGAUACGAGCUAGGACCGCAUGGUCACUAGUUGGAAAGAAUUUUGGUCAAGGAUGGACUCGCGGCCUAUCAGCUAGUUGGUGAGGUAACGGCCCACCAAGGCGACGACGGGUAGCCGGCCUGAGAGGGUGACCGGCCACACUGGGACUGAGACACGGCCCAGACUCCUACGGGAGGCAGCAGUGGGGAAUAUUGCACAAUGGGCGAAAGCCUGAUGCAGCAACGCCGCGUGAGGGACGACGGCC
rnacentral:rRNA from 1 species